rnacentral:rRNA from 1 species
AAGAAAGUAAAUAAGGGCGCAUGGCGGAUGCCUUGGCUCUCGGAGGCGAUGAAGGACGUGAUAAGCUGCGAUAAGCUUCGGGUAGGUGCAAAUGACCUUUGAUCCGAAGAUUUCCGAAUGGGACAACCCGGCAUUCUGAAGGAAUGUCAUCCAACUUUGUUGGAGGCUAACGCAGGGAACUGAAACAUCUUAGUACCUGCA